rnacentral:rRNA from 1 species
UACGGGAGGCAGCAGUGGGGAAGUAUUGCACAAUGGGCGCAAGCCUGAUGCAGCCAUGCCGCGUGUAUGAAGAAGGCCUUCGGGUUGUAAAGUACUUUCAGUCGUGAGGAAGGUGUUAAGGUUAAUAACCUUAGCAAUUGACGUUAGCGACAGAAGAAGCACCGGCUAACUCCGUGCCAGCAGCCGCGGUAAUACGGAGGGUGCGAGCGUUAAUCGGAAUUACUGGGCGUAAAGGGCACGCAGGCGGUUAAUUAAAUUGGAUGUGAAAUCCCCGGGCUUAACCUGGGAAUGGCAUUCAAGACUGGUUUAGCUAGAGUCUUGUAGAGGGGGGUAGAAUUCCAUGUGUAGCGGUGAAAUGCGUAGAGAUGUGGAGGAAUACCGGGUGGCGAAGGCGGCCCCUGGACAAAGGCUGACGCUCAUGUGCGAAAGCGUGGGGGAGCAAACAGGGAUUUAGAU